CGGAAAGCAUGAACGCCGACUAUGACCUCUGUCUCGCAAAGUCAUACUGUCGUCAUGAUAUCAUUGUGGUGUAUACUCGUCAUCGUUCCAAUGUCUCUUUCGAAGUGCUGCAAUAUCGACGGGCCGAUAUACGUAAUUCUUCCAUUGGGACUACUAAGCUUCAUUUGAUCCUCGUCACUGGGAGGAUCCCAUGAUUCAGUGCCAUUUCUUAUCGUUGAGUGAGAAGUUUCUACGCUGGAAUGCAUUUACUUUGGUCGUUGGCCACGCAGUUUACAAUUCACAUUUAGCAAAAGUGAUGUCCUAGGCAAACCGCGGUUAUUUAUCCUCUCAAAGCAAUUUCCACACUAGUAUUCGCUUAAUUAUUGUCCCCUCUAGCUUGGGCAGCGCAAAGAUUGGCCCCUUUAUACGGUUCAAGCUUGUCGCUUAUCGUGAAGGCAGACAAGAUAUCACGAAAAGUGCGCAAAGAGAGAGAAUGGCCUGUCUAUGUUUUAAGUGUAUAAGUACGCCAUAUAUAACCAAUUUAGGUGAGGAGGCAUUAAUGAGUGAGGCGAUAUUACUAACAAUGUAGUGAUUGUGAUGAAUUUGUGUACAAACACCGGUCAUUGAAAUUACAUUUUGAGAACAGUUAGCGCUGGUCUGUCCUUAAAUAUUUAUUGCUGUCCAUAGGCUUCCCCAAAGCGAUUUGUCAUGAAUGUCAAACUGUUCAGGAGUGAUUUGUAUAGGUGUGCAAAUAUCAAAUUUCUGACAGUGAAGUGAAUUGCAAGUGAGCAAGUGAAGUGAAUUAAUUUUUUGAAUUAUGGAGUCAGGCGGAUAUGUGAAAUGGGAGAAUUGAAGUCCUUUAUGCGAAGAACCCCUUGCAGCUUUGAAAUUUCGAAAAGAUGGCCUCUGCUAAUAAUUGCAAUGUAAUGAAAUUCAUCCAAAUUCAACCGCAGAAUCCGUUGAACUGGGUUGAGCUGAUUGAUUUAAUGAAGUUCAUUAACUUACCUUUUUAACUGCGGUCCCAAACGAUAUCCGCAACCAUCUUAAGAUGCCUGCCGCUUCUCAAAGCAGUUCUCAAAACAGCGAGCAAAUAUCGCAUUUUCCUGAUUUUGCAGGGUUUUGGACACAUUUUUUUAAACACCCAGUGUAGUUCAGGCGUGCGCUUGUCUGAAGAGUCGCCGCGCGAUGUGCUUGGUCGAGGGUUCCAAGAUGCCCACCUUUUGGCGCUCUUUGGCCAUCAUUGGCCCUUUCCACAAAACAACCCAUAUAAUCAUCAUCGACAUCAUCAUCAUCAAGAUGCCCACGCUGCAAUACGCGCGCGGUUUCGAGGAGCCGUAUCUUUGUGCUAUUGUUCGAGGCGCUACGACGACCAAAAUUCCUAGCGACGGUUCCGAACAGCCGGUUCGAAGUAAACAGAGGAAUUUUCUCGGUUACUUGUUGUAGUAAGAACGCGAUUAUUAUUGCACAAGUCACGCUAUGGUUGAGCGUUGAAUGCAACGCGUUGUUGCAUUCCGUUAAGCAAUGUUAACGGAACUCAAGGAAAGAAAUGAAAGAUUAUACCGUUUUGAACGCCAAUGGCACCUGCGUUAGACAUAGUCUUAAUGAUGGUGUUGAAAAUGUUUUAUUGAACUCUGCGUGGGUAUAAAUCGCUCUGGUUGCAAAUCCUUCAGCACGUGAAGUCCUAUUAGCCGUUGUUCUUGCCUCGAUUCACCACAACGGCACCCCUACGUUGUAGGUGACGAGGGCCGCCUGCAAGGCAAGCCGACCAAGUCAUUGUUUUAUCCAAACAUAAAGUAAUUAUCUGUUCCCAGAUCAUAUAAUGAUUAGGAAUGUACUGUACAGGGUUUGUUUUACAAUAAGCAAACUCGACGUUGAUUUCACUCCUUCACAGCGAUGCUUAUAUACGGAUGGUUGUGGGGUAUUGCUUCUGUAGAAGAAAACACCCGUAGAACCACAAUCAUAGGCGCUCCUCGUGCAUCGCUUCCUCACCACAGGUUACACUAACCUCUUCGCCACCGCCGAAGGCUCUUUCACAAACGUCGCGAUACUCGGCGGCGGCACUUUUCUCCAAGCGUCGUGCCCCUUUACCUCGUGAUGGAGGUAUCUCGCCAGCGCUAUUAUCAGCAUUUGCCUUCUUGACUCGCGCCGUACAGGUGUCUUUCGUUCGGAGAAAGAAGAGCCGGAUUUAAAGGAGCACCAGCGCGCACGGUACAACGUGAAGGCGCUUGCGCAGAAAGUACUGGCGGAGCCGCUGGCUUCGCUGGCUUCUGUCUUCCCACCAGUAAAAGGGCUCUGAAUUUUUUAGGAACAUAGUAAUGUGUCAAAGAAAAAUGUCCUUUCUGUGAAUUCGUCAGCGUAGCUGCAUUUAUUGCUCCAUUUGACACCAAAUAUGAAAAUGAGCUGGAACUUAUGUUGUGACGGAACGUCAAUAAAUUUAAGCGCCAUGGUAGUUCCUACAGGGGAUAAAGCAGGAAAAGUAAAACUGCAAUCAGCGGCCGCUUGUAUGAGUGCAAUGUUCGAAGCUGAAAUAUGUUAAAUGAUGUUAAAUAAUGAUUCGGCAUGCCAAUUUGCACUGACAAUCACGAAAUCGCAGCUGUGGCCAUUUCACCACUUAGAUGUGGAAUUGGACCGCCACGUUCAAUUGAACCUCCGGAAAACUAACCUCAAGAACAGCAACUUGCAGGACGUUUAAGCUUCUUCAUGAAAAGUAGAACGCGAUAGCGUAUAAUGAGGCCUCGUUCGCAUCAUCUUCUCAUUCACUUACCACGCUGCGGUUCUGAAAGGACGCCUCAACCACACUGCGAGGACAGGAUUGUCUACGCUCGCGAUAGUGGCCGUUCAGAACUAUCCUAAAAUGCUUACUGGAAGUAGAUUUAUGAAUUCCCGCGGCGCCAUAUUUCAUGAUUUUCGGAAUUAGUAAUGUAACCAUUACGCGUCUGCUAGGCAAUAUGCAAGCCUGCGCAGCUACUCACUUUGUCAUGCUGUCAUAUCGUAGCGUGGAAGCACACUUAUAAAACUUGGGAGACUUGACCUUCGCCUUCAAGGGUAGAAUGGAAUUGCGUAAACGGGCCCCGUGCCCAUCGCUUACUCAGUUUCUAACCUGGCUUCGGUUCUUUGUGGAUACCUCAAUCGUGCCGCAAGGAAAGGAACGUCUGAGCGCGUAACAAUAAGCGUUUUGACCACCACCACCACCAUUCGCCGUUUCAAACUAUCCGAGAAUGUCUACAGCUAGUGAAAUCGCGGAGUUCCCUCUGCGCCAUCAUUCUUCAUUUUGCGAAUCAGCGAAUGGUCCACCCCGCGUCCGUAAGAACGCGCCAACCUACGAAGCGGCUCACUUUGCUGAUGCUUUAGUUGAUAAUGAUGACUAAAUAUGUCUGAGUGUUUUGUAAUCAAUUGGGCCUCUAAAGCGUGGACUCGAUGAGCACUGCACAUGCUCUGACCACUGCGCGAUUCUACGCUACUGCCACGCAAUAUUGCAUAAGUUAAGGAGACUACUCCAACUACAUGACAUUUAUAUAGUCUUUUUUUUCGAAGCUGUUUCCGGCAAUGGCUGCCUCUGUGUUAGAACACCUGCUUCCCACGCAAAAGGUCUGGGUUUGGUUCUCUCUCGAACCGAAGAUUUUUAUCGUUUAUUUAAUUUGCAUCUUUCUCGAAUUUUCGGUCGCGCACAACGCUGAUUUUUCUUAUGCAACCAAUGAGCCGACACCGACGCUGACGCCGACACCGGAAUUUCGGCGAAACGAGCUCUUUAACAGUGUCGCGUUAAAAGAACACGUGAAGGACACAUUGCAAGAAGCCCCGUUCAUAUUUCUUCUAUUCGACUUUCAUGUCGCUUUGUUCGGCCUUUGUUCAGCCACAUUGCCUACGGCAUCGAUUCAUGACAAAAUGUGCAUAAGGAAUAUUCAUAACGUCCCUGCAAGCUAUUCAAUGCGAAGUAAUCUCUUUAGUAACUCUUCAUCGCAUGGCACUAGCGUGAAUCACAACCAACAAGUUAUAAUUCGAGAAUGACGGAUCUUUUUAAAGAGACCCAUGUCAACGUUAUCUUUCGGUUUAACAAACGAAAGCAUUCCACUGACCAUCAUACGAAAAAUAUCUCAUAUUAAAACCAACAUUACUAUACAUGCUGACACGACGAAAUUUCUGGUAUAUUUCGCCCGUUGUUCAUUCUUUUCACUCUGUAAAGCAAUGGCAAUUAAUUGUACCUGCUCAUGCACAGGUCUUAACGCCUUCCUUUAAAUUCCUCAGAGCUUCCGUACUUUUACCCUCGACUGUGUACGUUUAAUUCGCUAUAACUGCUCUCUUAUUGCAAAUAGCCUGCAUUAUUGCUUCGGUGAUGAGACUUGUUUCUGUGUAUUUUUCAAUGUUAAAUAUUUAUUCACAGCAUUGUACUUCAGUUCGUUUUAAAAAAAAAACAUUUCAUUUUCUGCAGUUUACAUAAUCUGUUUUCAAAUAUGAUCACCCACACAUUUGCGGUCUUCAGGGAAAAAUACUACUAGAGGGUCUGCUGGCCCGUACAUAUAUGAAAAGUGAACUGCAAAGUAUUGUUUUAGUGCUAAAUAGACCGUAUUAGUCACCAGCUGUAAACUCCGCGCACUAUCGGCAACCGCCAAUUUUCCAUGGUGGUUUUGACGUCAUGUGCUGCAUGGAGUGGAGCCGCUGUCUUUUGCCAAAGUUUCAGGGGGUGUAAGUCGUUCAAUUUCGAUGACAAGUUGAAGAAAACCGAAAUACCUCGAUGGCACGAGCAGCUGACCGCGGAACAAGGUCUUUUGCUAGAAUGCAGGUGCUCGUACAGCAAUCAGCUGGUUACGUCACGUCUUGCGAGUGCGCCACUCUUGCCUGGCUCAGACCACUUUCAUGUUUCCAAUAUAUUCAAUGAUAAAUAAGUGCUUGGCUAAAUACGCUAAAAUUUUGGUAUCUUUUUCUUAACGCACAGGAAUAAACCCGCAUAAAGUAGAUUAUGGUUGAAAAUGGGGUGACAUGGCCUCUUUAACAUCUUCUUUGAUGUGCUUCAGAAUUGUUGUUAUCGUGCACAAGGGAGGCCACGACAUAGUUUAUAAGAUCUAACAACCCUAUCUUGUUGUGCGCUUAAAUCUUUUGCAAAUAUCAGUGCUUUACGGAUAUGAAUUACCUUAUUCUGGAUGAGAUUCUGAAGACGUUUUGUCUGCUCUGAAAUUUCAGCAAGAAAUCAGGGGGCGGAGAAAGACAGCAAUGAAACUUUCGUCAUUUCCGGUUCUGUCAGUGCAUAUUUCAGUGACCUCCGCCUACUGAUCUGAUAUUGGCGAAGGGAUUACACCUGAUGUUUUUAUAGACUCCUCGAAUCAUUCAAGGAAUGCUGGGGGUUAUCUACCGAGGACUUGCGAAUACUGCCUGAUAGGUAAUGCGUCCUCUCGUGCUGGGAAUUGCUCUGCGAAUAUCAGUAUUCCCGACACUGCUGUUAGGCGUUUCAACAAGAAAAUUGCUUGUAACGAAUUGAUUUCAGACAUUCAUGUUACGUUUCAUUACUUUGGGCAGAUACAAAUUUCCACUUCUCACUUGCAAAAAAUCAUUCAGUUAUUGAAGACAGCAGCAAUAUUAUUCAACUUGCAUAGAUAAGUACCCCAUGCACGUACGCCAAAGUUGGAGGAGUACUGACACAAUAUUGUGGAGGCGAGAUAAAUUGUGGGAUGGAUUUGUUUGGACACACACGCAUCAUCUACGAAGUGUCAACGGAUAAUAUAGCCUAGAACAUAUUUGAAAAUGAAUUUUAAAGUGCGUGUAACGCCACUGCGCAAGAAACCGGCCUUUGGUUUUCGUGCAAACAACCAACCGCCACCUGUGUCACCAGUUUGUGUUGGCUGCCAUGAUCCUUGGAAGUGCACCCUUCCUGCAGUCCUUUCCAACAAAAACAAGGCGACGUGACUUGCACGGGAGUGCAUAGGCUGAUGUCCUUGCCUCGGCAGGGCAUUUUUGGGUGGUCAAGCAUAUUUACAACGUCUCAGAGGUGAUUGCAGCCGCUCCCAAAAAGCUUUCAUUGAAAAGUGCUGUCAUCGCGGUGGUCUUGUGCGUAUAUUUUAUGUGCCCACGUAGCCAGCUUUGUUUUGUAGGAAAAGCACACUGGGUCCUGCCUCACUUGGCACUCUCUGAAACCGAAACUGCGACUGGGCGCUAUAAAACUCUAUCUAAAUAAUCAAUCGUCGGGCUGGAGCAAAUGAGCUUUUCAGCCGUGAUAAGUGGCUCGUUAUCUACUUAUUUCAAUAAAAAAACUAGAUGUGACAUUUUCGUGUUAUUGCUCCUUUAAAGAAAUCGUCUUGCUUUCGCAAUCCACGGAACCAAGUAAGGGCCUUUCAAGAAAAACUGAACUACGCUAUAAAAAUCGCUGUCAUGUGACGCCUGUAGCGACAAGGAAAAAAUAGAACGGCUAUUGUGCCUUAUUUAGCAAACCUUUUCGCACGCCUGACAUUGAGGCCGCACAAAGAAUUGAUGUAGGCAUGCUAAAAAGAUAUCAAGCAUCGCUCAUCUAGACGUCCCAUGCACCCUUUGUCAGGGGCGCUAGCUAUUUCAUGACUGGAAUGUGCACGACAAAGGGAAUUCCUAUAAUUAAAACGAGACUCAAAUCAAUCACUGUAUAUGCGCGCUCGCUGAUUUUGUACCCAUACAGAAAAUGUCGUCCGAGUGAAUUCUCAGCAGCGCAAAUUUCCUAAACAUAUGACUGCCCAUAAAUUUGGGAGUAACCUCGAGGACCAGAUGUCGCUAAGAUUUGCAAUAUUUCGAAUUUUUAGUCACUGCUAACUGAAACACAUGCACAUAAGCUGCGUAUCUUUACCACAUCAGGUUUUUGCACAAUGACGAUAUUCUGAACGGCUGAAGAAAACGUAAAUAAUUGUCGCGUUUUGCAUCGAUGAAGAUGUACUAUCAACCGAUAUGGUGAUGUCGAUGAUCACAUGCUACAUAAUAUGACCAAUCACAGUUGCAAAAACAGAUAAUUUUCAGGUAAUUGAGUCCGAUAAUUGACAACUCAAAGAAGUGUCAAUUUUCAAGAUACGCAGGGUCGUUCGACUCAGUAGACAUGCCACCAGUCAAGCUGUUACUGUGUCACCGAGGAAUACUGGAGACACGCAAACGCAUUAGACAAGAGUAGACUCCACAGCUACAUGCUGCUCAGAGAAGGAGUCCCAAAAAAAAAAAACGAAAGUUUCGCCGCCAUGACGAAGCAGUGAAAGCAACAUCAAGAUAUUGGAAUGACAUACGAAGCAUAACUGGCCAUUAGCAAACGCCGACACUGCAGCAAGCGUCCGUCCGUGUCACUCAACGGUCAGUUACUUCAAAGCAAGCUUUGCGAUGAAAGCACAACACUUGCAAAGCUCAUCCCAAAAAGAGCAAGCCCGCAAGCACAUUCAACCACGCCCUGUAGGUUAAAGUACGGAGCCGGAGGAGCGCAGCCACACUCCGGCGAAAGAGAAAGCGGGGCGACGCCUUUGCAAGCACACUUUUUGUCUCUUUGCGCCAUGUCGCGGGUGAUAGGGAAGAAGCCGUAACACGCUGAACCACCUCACACAUUUGCGUACCAUGAACGGUUAAUGGUGUAUAUAAAACGCUCGCCGUUAAUACGUGGAAGUAUAUAUGCUGCAGCAAUAAAAUAUCGAUCGAGAAAUUCGCCAGGGAGCAUUAAAGCAAACAAAUGGAUCACAACUAGGAAGAAAGAAUUAACAGAGAAUACCUCAUCGACCUAUGAAUUAUCAAUCGCAUUAUUCUCUGCACCAAAACAGCCAACAAAUACAUGUCACUGCAGACCUUAACAGGAAAAGUGCCACAGCGAGGUUAAAGAUGUGCACGUAGAAGAAAAAGCCGGCAGAUCCCACGCAUUGUGGGAAUCGAUGUAAUGCGAAGCAGCCAGCAAAGAGCUGCAUACAUGGUCUUGUAUGUCAUUGAGGAAAAUGCGUGUCAUGGUUUUCAUGUUAACUCCUAUUAUUUAUGUUCGUCACACAGUAACGUCGCGCAAUACCAACUUCGGGGUAGAUCAAGCUAGAAAAACGGCCGCCAGCGCACCAUGAGCGUGGCACUCACGUCGCAAGAUACCAAUUUCGGUGUAUAUCAAGCUAGCGAAACGGCCGCCAGCGCACCAUGAGCGUGGCACGAGUAAGGUCUUCUGAAAAGUAAACACAGAAGCUCCAGUUUGAACACUCAGCCUUGCAUUCGCGACGAAGCUACGAGAGAACAGCGCGGCGCCUUCUUUGUCCUUUCGCAAAUACCCAAGGGAACAGUGGCACGACGAGGUAGUCAAAGUUCAAAUAAUGGAAGUCUAGUCGCCUGCAACGGUUACCGCUGCAGCAGCUUAACGCAGAAUUAAACAGACGGAGGCAAGGAGUUCCCAGCCCUCUUCCCAGAAAGCCUGAAGAUCCAGACAAGAGAGCACGACGCCUAGCGAAAGUACAGCGGAUACUUCAAGGAUAACUAUCAGGACUUUCUCCUGGAGUGGCGUGGUCAGCCCAAUCUUGACAAUAAAUGGCGUCUAAAUUCG